rnacentral:rRNA from 1 species
CAGCCGCCGCGGUAAUACCGGCGGCCCGAGUGGCGGCCACUAUUAUUGGGCUUAAAGCGUCCGUAGCCGGGUUGGUUAGUCUCCCGGGAAAUCUGGCCGCUUAACGGUCAGAAUUCCGGGAGAUACUGCCAGCCUAGGGACCGGGAGAGGCCGAGGGUAUUCCCGGAGUAGGGGUGAAAUCCUAUAAUCCCGGGAGGACCACCUGUGGCGAAGGCGCUCGGCUGGAACGGGUCCGACGGUGAGGGACGAAGGCCAGGGGAGCAAACCGGAUUAGAUACCCGGGUAGUCCUGGCUGUAAACGAUGCGGACUUUGUGUCGGACAAGCUAUGAGCUUGUCCGGUGCCGGAGGGAAACCGUUAAGUCCGCCGCCUGGGGAGUACGGCCGCAAGGUUGAAACUUAAAGGAAUUGGCGGG